CCUACGGGGGGCAGCAGUGGGGAAUAUUGGACAAUGGGCGAAAGCCUGAUCCAGCCAUGCCACGUGUGUGAAGAAGGCCUUCGGGUUGUAAAGCACUUUCAGUGGGGAAGAAAGCCUUGGGGCUAAUACCCUCGAGGAAGGACAUCACCCACAGAAGAAGCACCGGCUAACCCCGUGCCAGCAGCCGCGGUAAUACGGAGGGUGCGAGCGUUAAUCGGAAUUACUGGGCGUAAAGCGCGCGUAGGCGGUCUGAUAAGCCGGUUGUGAAAGCCCCGGGCUCAACCUGGGAACGGCAUCCGGAACUGUCAAGCUAGAGUGCAGGAGAGGAAGGUAGAAUUCCCGGUGUAGCGGUGAAAUGCGUAGAGAUCGGGAGGAAUACCAGUGGCGAAGGCGGCCUUCUGGACUGACACUGACGCUGAGGUGCGAAAGCGUGGGUAGCAAACAGGAUUAGAUACCCCAGUAGUC
rnacentral:rRNA from 1 species